rnacentral:rRNA from 1 species
GACGAACGCUGGCGGCGGGCCUAACACAUGCAAGUCGAACGAGCAGUCAGUCAAAGCUUCGGUUUAGAUUGGCGGGCGAGUGGCGAACGGGUGCGUAACACGUAGGUAACCUGCCCUCGAGAGGGGAACAACCAUUGGAAACGAUGGCUAACACCGCAUAAAGUCCCAGUUGCGCAUGCAACAGGGAUGAAAACUCCGGUGCUCGAGGAUGGGCCUGCGGCGGAUUAGGAAGUUGGUGAGGUAACGGCUCACCAAUCCUGCGAUCCGUAGCUGGUCUGAGAGGAUGAUCAGCCACACUGGCACUGGGACACGGGCCAG